rnacentral:lncRNA from 1 species
AGCCCUGUGCCCAGGCGGUAGUUGGAGGCUGGGAGAGACUGACCCAAGGUCAACCCAAGGUCAACCCAAGACUGACCUCCCUUCAGAGCUCAGCCUCUCAUCCCCAAGCUGGAUGACCUCUAGCUGGAGAUGCAUGGAGAGCCCAGUGACUUUCGGCUCCUGCCUGACACUCUCAGUCUUGGAUGCUGGCCUGUCUGGAGUUUCCUGGUCCUAGGUGGUUUCCAGCCCUACCCACUUUCUUGGAGUUCAAUUCACCCAUUACUCCUGCCAGGUGUGUCCAUGUCCUAGUGUCACUCUGAGUAACCACAGGGACUAG